rnacentral:lncRNA from 1 species
GUAAAUAGAUUUUCAUCUAAUAAGAAAAUAAUAUGUACAUAUUUUCCAACAAAGAAUCUCAUUAUAUUUCACCUUCUCUUUUAGGAUUCCGACAUUCAUAUUCAACAGAAAGUAAUAUUUCUUAUGGUGAUCAGGGAUCCAAAGGAUACUGCAGUAAGUAUUCUUUAGUUUGUCAGUAGUUUAUUUCCCAUUAUUAACACCUUUCUAGAUUGUUAUUGCUUUGAGGAAAGACAAUCUUUACCAAUUCAUAUAAAUACUAAGUAACAGUUAGAGAAUCUAAUAGUGUUGGGUUAGUAAGGUCUGUCAGUUGAUAAAUUGCAAAUUUAUCAGGAAGAAAGGAAAAAUAUAGAGAUUGAUGACUGAGAUAAAAGAAGGGAAGAGAAAAGAG